rnacentral:rRNA from 1 species
UGUAAAGUUCAAGCUCCGAUUUGUGAGGGCGAAACCGCGAAUGGCUCAUUAAAUCAGUCAUAAUCUACUUGAUUGUUUAAAGUUUAUAUGGAUAACUGUGGUAAUUCUAGAGCUAAUACAUGCACAAAGAGGGCGACUCUCUAGCAAUAGGGAGAAGCUCUGCGUUUAUUAGACUAAGACCAAUGGUUGAUCGCAAGAUCAAUCCUAUUUAAUGGUGACUCUGAGUAAAUAAUGGGUGCAAGCCCAUGUUGCCGACCUGGCACACCAAACAGCAGUUUAUACUGUUGGCCAGGCGAAUCAAUCGAGUGUCUGCUCUAUCAACUGUGGAUGGUAGGGUAAUUGCCUACCAUGGUGAUGACGGGUAACGGGGAGUUAGGGCUCGACUCCGGAGAACAAGCCUGAGAAACGGCUAGUAGGACUAAGGUCUGCAGCAGGCGCGAAACUUACACAAUGCUAGAUUACCAAAAUAGCGAUGUAGUGAAGAAAAAUAACGAUGUACUUCCAUCUAAACAUGGUAGUACAAUUGGAAUGAGACGACUUUAAACCGGUCAGUCGAGUAACAAAUGGAGGGCAAGUCUGGUGCCAGCAGCCGCGGUAAUUCCAGCUCCAUUAGCAUACAUUAAAGUUGUUGCGGUUAAAAAGCUCGUAGUUGAAUUUCGGACGGGCUCUAUUGGGGUGCAGUCGUUUAAGGUUUGCUAGUUACUCUAGGGUUCUAGUUCAAACUGACUGUAUUUCCUCAUUAGGAACCCGUUGUUUCGUCACUUAAUCAAGUGCGAAGCGGGCUGGUGUUUAGAUAGAUUCGUCUAUCAAGCAACAGCAUGUUUACCUUGAGAAAAUUAGAGUGCUCAGAGCAGGCAGUUGUGGUGUAAAAGCCACUUUAUGCUUGAAUAAUGUUGCAUGGAAUAAUAGAAUACGGCCUCGGUUCUAUUCUGUUGGUCUUAUAGAACAACAAACAAGUUGGUUAAAGCGACAAAAGGCUCCUCUUUUGUGUGGUUAAUGCUAGUUUUUUAGUCGGUUGUGUUGCCUAGGGCCUUAAAAUCUUAGUGCCGCGCUGCUUUUAAACUACAUUAUCCGUCUAAAGCACACUAGUUGAGUCAGCUUUCUAACCAACUGAGGCAAUGGUUAAAAGAAAUAGUCGCGGCGGCAUCAGUACUGCAUCGUGAGAGGUGAAAUUCUUAGACCGAUGC